UACGUAGGGUGCAAGCGUUAAUCGGAAUUACUGGGCGUAAAGCGUGCGCAGGCGGUGAUGUAAGACUGUCGUGAAAUCCCCGGGCUCAACCUGGGAAUGGCGAUGGUGACUGCAAGGCUAGAGUUUGGCAGAGGGGGUAGAAUUCCACGUGUAGCAGUGAAAUGCGUAGAUAUGUGGAGGAACACCGAUGGCGAAGGCAGCCCCUGGGUCAAAACUGACGCUCAUGCACGAAAGCGUGGGGAGCAACAGG
rnacentral:rRNA from 1 species